CCUUGACAAGUAUAUUAAUGUACAUUUACCUUCCAAGUAAAAAGUCUGGCCUAGAUCAGGUUAAGGA
rnacentral:tRNA from 1 species